ensembl:lncRNA
GUUUUAUCAUGCAACAGGAGAUGAAAGAAGGCAAGAUGGAAGCAGCAUCUAAGAAAUACGUACUUUAUCUCUGGAAUUCACGGCAUGGCCUGUGCUGAGCCAAUGGCCUGAGCACUUCUCCCUGUCUGGGGUGGCGAUUCCCUGGUGACAAAGAAGAGCCUGUUGUCUCAGCUCCGCACAGCCGUGAUGGUCCUGAGCUCUGUUCCCGGCCUUGCGCUGACUCACUCGCUGACCUUGCUGAGAAAGUCUGUGGGCUGCACCAUCGUCUCCUAAGGGGACUACAGGAUGUGCAUGAAUCAAAGGCAGCCUGACCAGAUCGUGGAGAGAGGCACACCCAGCGACAGUCCUGCAGCUCUCCUUGGGAUUAGGGCAGCUACUGUUGGAAAAGCUUCUUGGCUGUGUGAGGGACAAGCUGGGACUGGGGAUGGGCUAUGUACCCUGUUUACUAGCUGAAGGACCCAAACGUAGCCAGCUUCACGCCUGUUCUGAAAGUCUGUGUAUGCCUCCAAGGUACCUUAUGUUCCCGUCAAGUAUGUAGCUGAACUCCUACACUUUUUUCAUCCCAGAACAAUGCAGCAAAGUGCAGGGCCCUCCCGCAAUGCCCUGCCUGUUUCCACCACCUCCUUAGGGUGCUUGGAUUUACAGGACAUGGAAAGCUAUCUAUUCAAAUAGGGUUCUAGAUCCUCUUGGGAAAAUGAGAUAGAACUGCUUCAUAUGGCACGCUGAAAUGAAAAUCCCUGGCCCUGCC